AUGGAAAAGGUGAUGCUUGUCGAGUCCUUAGGAUAUAACCUCAUGUCUGUCUUAAUGCUUUGUGAUCUUCGUAUGAUUGUCAUCUUUGGCAAAUAUAGAUGCAUUGUGCUAAUGGAAUUUGACAAGUCCAAAGUCUUCGAAGGCUUUAGGAGAGGUGAUUUGUAUAUUGUAGAUUUCUCUCUAGGUACUCAACCAGCCACAUGUCUACUGGAAAAAGCUUCAGAGUGCUGGCUAUGGCAUCGACGACUUGGACAUGCUGGCAUGAGGAAUUUGAGCACACUCGUCAAGAAGAAGCAUAUCAUUGGCGUUGAGGGCGUUAAAUUCGUCAAAGAUCACCUUUGCGGCGCUUGUGAAGCUAGAAAGAUGACUAGAUCCAAGCACUCCACAAAGACAAUCAUGACCACUUCUCGUCCCUUUGAAUUACUUCACAUGGAUCUCUUUGGUCCUACUCAUUAUGCUACACUAACCAAUGCAGCAUCACUCCAUAAAUUCGUCAUUGCUGAUGACUAUUCUCGUUACACCUGGGUGCAUAUCAUUAUCUUCAAGACUGAAGUGCAGGGCAUCUUUAGACAAUUCGCAAAGCCAUGA
rnacentral:rRNA from 1 species